rnacentral:rRNA from 1 species
UACGUAGGGGGCAAGCGUUGUCCGGAAUCAUUGGGCGUAAAGAGCGUGUAGGCGGCCAGAAAAGUCCGCUGUGAAACUCGAGGCUCAACUUCGAGCUGUCGGUGGAAACUUUCUGGCUAGAGUCCGGAAGAGGAGAAUGGAAUUCCUGGUGUAGCGGUGAAAUUCGUAGAUAUUGGGAAGAACACCAGUGGCGAAGGCGGCUAACUGGUCCAGAUCUGACGCUGAGGUGCGAAAGCG